rnacentral:rRNA from 1 species
UUCAGAGGAACCUGUCCUAUAAUUGAUGAUCCACAAUUUAAGUUACUUAUUUUAAUAGUUUGCAUAUCGCCGUAGGUUGAAUGUUUUUAAAGAAUAAUAAUGUUCAUAAGUUUAAUUAAGAAAAUAAAUCAGGUCAAGGUGUAGUUUAUAGAUAAGGAGAGAUGGGUUACAAUAAAUUUAUUUAUACCGAUAAUUAUUUGAAAUACUAAUUUGAAGGUGGAUUUGAAAGUAAUUUUUAUUAAAUAAUAAAGAUGAAUUUAGCUCUAAAAUAUGUACAUAUCGCCCGUCAUUUUCAUUACAAAGUGGAACAAGUCGUAACAUAGUAGGUGUACUGGAAAGUGUACCUAGAAUGGCAAAUUAGAGCUUGAAAGAAAGCGUUUUAGUUACAUUAAAAAGUUUAUUGUGAAAUUCAAUAUAAUUUGAAUAUAAUUUAUUAUUAAAAUUUUGAAUUAAUAUAUAUAUAUAUAUAUUUAUUUAAAUAAAAUAAUUUAUUAGUUUAAUUAUUAUUUAGAAAAAAUAUUUUUAUUAUAGUUUAUUAGUAUUGUAAAAGAUUUAUUAAAAAUUUUUAAAAGAAUAAUUUAUUUUUUGUACCUUGUGCAUCAGGGGUUAUUAAAUAAUAUUUAAUUAAUUAAUUUUCUCGAAUUUAAAAGAGCUAUAAAAUUAUAAUUUUUAUUGUAUCAUAAAUAUUAAAAAUAAUUUUAUUGUAAUGAAAUGUUAAACGUUUUUAAAUAUAUCUAGUUUUUUAAGAAAUAAAUUUAAUUUAACUAAUAAAAAUAUUUAUUUUAAUAUUUAAUUAAAUAUUAUUAUUAUUAAAUAUUUUAAGGGAUGAGCUUUAAAAUAAAAUAUUAAAAAUUAUUAAAAAAUUUAGUUAAGUAAGAUUAGAAGUUUUUAUCUUUAAUAGUGUGUUAUAAUUAAUCUAGAAAAAUAAAAUAUUUAUAUUAAUUUUAAUUUUUUUAUUAAAAUAUAAAUUUAAACUUUAAUAAUUAAGUAAUAAUGAUGAUAUUAGUAUAAUUUUAUGUAUAAUAAUUUAAUUGUCAGAUUAAAUUAAGGAAUUCGGCAAAAUAUUUCCACCAAAAACAUGGCUUUUUGAAUAUAAUUUAAAGUCUGACCUGCCCAAUGAAUAAUUAAAUGGCCGCGGUAUAUUGACCGUGCAAAGGUAGCAUAAUCAUUUGUUUUUUAAUUGAAAGCUGGAAUGAAAGGUUUGAUGAGAAAAUAACUGUCUCUAUUUAAAUUUUAGAAUUUUAUUUUUAAGUUAAAAAGCUUAAAUAAUUUUCGAAGACGAGAAGACCCUAUAGAGUUUUAUAAUUUAAAUAAUUAAUAAAUUUAUAAUUUUUAAAUUUAAUAAUUUAAAUUAUUAGAUUGGGGUGAUUGAAAAAUUAAUUUAACUUUUUUUUUAUAAAUACAUUAAUUAAUGAUUAAUUGAUCCUUAUUAAAGAUUAAAAGAUUAAAUUACCUUAGGGAUAACAGCGUAAUUUUUUUUUAGAGUUCAAAUUAAAAAAAAAAAUUGCGACCUCGAUGUUGGAUUAAAAUUAAUUAUUGGUGUAGAGGCUAAAUAAAUUGGUCUGUUCAAACCGGUGUAAGCCAGGUUGGUUUCUAUCUCGAAAAGGUUAACAUAUUUUAGUACGAAAGGACCAAAUAUUUAAUAAAAAAUUUUUUAUUUAGAAUAAUAUUGUUAUUUUGGCAGAUUAGUGCAAUAGAUUUAGAAUCUUUAUAUGUAAUUUUUACAAAUAAUACUUGAUACAAAAAGAUUUAAUAAUAAUAAUAAUUUCUAGUUUAAUUUUAAUUUUAAGAGUAAUAUUUGGAGUUGCCUUUUUAACUUUAUUAGAACGGAAAGUACUAGGAUAUAUUCAAAUUC